UUUCGACAAGGCCGUUGGCUGCGGGGU
rnacentral:sRNA from 1 species